CAAGAAAGAUCCAAGAA
rnacentral:tRNA from 1 species